rnacentral:rRNA from 1 species
UACGUAGGGGGCAAGCGUUGUCCGGAAUCAUUGGGCGUAAAGAGCGUGUAGGCGGCCCGAUAAGUCCGCUGUGAAAGUCCAGGGCUCAACCCUGGAAUGCCGGUGGAUACUGUCGGGCUCGAAUCCGGAAGAGGUGAGUGGAAUUCCUGGUGUAGUGGUGAAAUUCGUAGAUAUCGGGAGGAACACCAGUGGCGAAGGCGGCGACCUGGGCAGAUACUGACGCUGAGGUGCGAAAGCGUGGGGAGCAAACAGG